GUGGAGCCUGGAGGUGGCAGAGUGGUGGGUCCAGCACAUUCCUCAAGGUGAAGGCCAGGCAGCACUGGAUCACUGAGGUGUAUGCAAGACACAGGCAGCCUGCCUCCCUGGGAAGCCAGGGAAGGUGGGCACAGCGCAGGGACCACCAGCUCUUUGCUGCCUGCGCCCUUCGCACCCAUUUACCAGACUCUAGACUCUGCUGAGUUUUGGGGUGGUUUCUUGGCGUGAUGGGGGCCAUCCAGAACUGAGCCACAAAGCAGGAAGCCACGGAGGGUCAUUUAACAAACUCCUCCAUUCCGGCCCCAGGAUUAACAGGUGUUGAAAGAUGUGGCAGGUGUGAAAACAGAGGCUCAGACGGGGCCAGGCACCCAGCUGUGAGUCUGAAGCUGGGAGUCCGAGCUUCCCUGGGACUCCUGACCUGUUCCCCAAGCUGCCUGCUCCUUACCCCAGAGAUGUCACAGCCCACAUGUGCGAUGCCAAGCCUCUGGUCCCAGAUGGACGGAGGGUGCCCCGUGGGAGGCUGGAUCUUUGUGCCUGAUGGAAGUAACACUAGCCUGCUGUCUACAGCCCCAUUCUCCUGAGCUGACUCCUGAGGCCAUAACCCACUCAGGGGGGUGGGGACCGGAGGUUACACCCCGGCUCCAUCAGGUCGCAGGGUGGACAUGGGCCCGGUGGCCAUCGGGGAGCAGGGGUGGGACAGGCAGGGCUGGUGGGAAAAGAAAACCUUAACUACCGACCAUCCUGACUGCACUGUGGUUGGACUUGACUUCUGGAUUGUUCCACGGAGACCCUAAUGGCCAGAUUUGGUCAGUAAGCCUGGGCUGCAGAAAGAGCACUGUGAAAUUCAGAGAACAAGGGCCCGAUUCUCCUGGCAUGAGUGGCCUCCCUCGCCCGGCGUCGGGUUCUGCGCCUUCCAGUGACUAAGGAGGAAAUUCUGUCACACAUACUGCGGCCCUGCAUCAUUCACGCCCGCCUUUGCUAUUGGAAUGUUGUGCCUGCCUCAUCUUUCUGGAAUUUGCCUUUUUUUUUCUCCUUUUUCUGGGUAAUAUGUGGAGGCCACCCAGUGGAACACAGCCCAGAUUUGGUCUUCCUGCCUGGUUGUCUCCGGGCAUCCUGGGCCCCGUACUUUCCAGACGGUCAGUGCUUAUGACUCGGUCCUUGGGACUCAUGCAGGCUUUCGUGUCCCCCUGUUCCACAGGGCCCCACACCCAGUUCUCAACCCCUGGUGAGACCUCUGGGUAAACACUCCUGUCAUCUGGACCUUGAGAUUGGCUCUCUCGGACUGCCAGUUUCCUGGUGUGCUUCCGUAGGUGGGAGAGGUGUCUGGCCUGCCGUGGCAGGGGGGCCGCUGUCAAAAGGAGGAGAAGCAGGCCACCAUCUCCAGUUGGGAGAGGGGACAGCACAUUCUGAGGAGAUGCUGUCUGCCUCUCCCCACCGCCCACGGCUUCAGACCCAGCCUCCUCUGCUGUCCCUGCCCAGGCUGCUCGCCCUGCCCCUCUACUGCUGGGCACUCUGGCUCCAGUGUGCUCCCGCGCGUGGGUCCGUCUCUCCCAGGAGUCUGGGAGCCUGUCCGCUGGGAGGACCAGGUUUGCGCCCACGUUGUGUCUGAGAGCCAGGGGCCAGCCCACGUUUGCUGGUGGACAAAGACCCUCUGCCCAGCCGAGCCCUCUUGCGUGCAGGGCGCAUCUCCUCCCCUCUCUCUGCUGGGCAACAGGAGGCCCGCUGGCCACUGACUCCUCACUCAUCCUGCUGUGUCCCUGCAGCCCAGAUUGGGUGCUGGGUCUCCACCCAGGCACCCCUGUAU